AAAAGGGUGUUGAAACACCAAUAUUUAAUCUCUGACUUGAGCUUCUGUUUUUUUUAAUCGGCAAAAUUUCAGUUGGUGUAGAAUUAUAUAAUUGAGUUCUGAAUGUUAAUUUUAAAACUUAUGUAACUAUAUAUUUUCCUAGCAGUUUUAUUGAAUAAUUUGCUUCUGCAUCUUCUCAUCUGUUUUUCCAAACAUUUCAAAAUAAAAUUUCCAAACAUUUCAAAAUAAAAUUUCCAAACAUUUCAAAAUAAAAUUUCCAAACAUUUCAAAAUAAAAUUUCCAAACAUUUCAAAAUAAAAUUUCAAACAUACCAUAAAGUUGAGAGAAUGAGUUAACAUGCAUAUACCUAUUACUUAGAUUCUACAAUAACAUUUUACUCACUUUAUUAUGUACCCAUCCAAUCAUCUGUUCCUAUUUCCCUCUAUCUCAGUCCACUUUUGAUGUAUUUCAAAGUCAGUUGUAGACCUCAGGACAAUUCCUCCAAAAUACUUCAGCUUGUACAUCAUUAGCUAUCAUGUUCCAUUUUUUAAGGGCUAGUUCUUAAUAGAUUGGUACAAGGUUAUUUCAAAUGUAAAAUGUUCAUAUUUUGGCUUUUUUUAAAUCAUGCUUCUAGGGUCCCCAGGGAGAUGCUGGCAUUGUUGGAAUAUCAGGUCCUAAAGGCCCUGUUGGACAGAGGGGAAACACUGGCCCCUUUGGCAGAGAAGGUAUAAUAGGUCCAACAGGUAGAACUGUAAGUUCGUUGCAAUACAGAUCUUUUUUUUUUUUUCCAUUUUCUUUUUUUUUUUUUCUUUAAUUUAAUCCUAUUCUAGAGUAAUCCACAAGGAAUCACUCUGGGUAUUUGAGAAGCAAGGGCAAAAAUGUACAUUUUCAUCUAGAAAGUUAUUCGUGAGAAUUUAGAGAUCAAAUGUAAUGAAGAAGAUACAUAGAGUGUGAUAGGUACUUAAAACAAAUUGAGAAAGGAAAAUAGAACUGGGUAGGGGAGGAGGGGUUGAGCAUCAUAAUCAGGAAAGCAAAAGAAUCUAUUUUCUGAAAGAGAGAGCAUAAGAAAAGAUAGACAGACAGCCAAGAUUUGAGUCUUUAAAAGUACUCAGUCUUAGAAAGAAAUAGUUGGUGGAAAUAACAGAAAACCCAGAAAAGCACAAGACUAAGGUCAGUUUCCAGAAAGGAGUAGCUAACAGUGAUCUUUAAGAAGAUAAAUUGCAGUAGAAGAUGGAGUACAGCUUGCACUGAGGAAGGAAGUAAAUAAAAAUAUGUAAUAAUAACUUUUCUCA
rnacentral:lncRNA from 1 species